CGAGAUGGCGCCUGGAAAACAGCAGAAGGAUUUGAAGAAAAUUUUGUCUUUGCUUCUGGAAUCUAGAGAGGAAAAAGAAAAGGCCUGGAUCGUUUUCCUGCAGACCAUGGGUGACAUUCAUGUCUAAAAUUAAUUUGCAAAAUGAACGUUAAGUUGAUGCUGCUGCUUUGAAAAAAGAAAAGGCAAACUAAAUCUGCUUUCCCAUUAUAUACAGAAAGUUACAAAAGUACUUCACUAAAUUAUUCCAUUUAACAUUGAA